rnacentral:rRNA from 1 species
AAACCCCUUAACGAGGAUCAAUUAGAGGGCAAGUCUGGUGCCAGCAGCCGCGGUAAUUCCAGCUCUAAUAGCAUAUAUUAAAGUUGUUGCAGUUAAAAAGCUCGUAGUCGGAUUUUGGGCGCGUGUGAACUGUCAGCCUCUGGUUGGACGGUGCGCGCGUGCCUUUCUGCUUGGGAGCCCCAUGGUGGUUAAUUCUGUCGUGGUGGGUCACAGGCCGUUUACUUUGAAAAAAUUAGAGUGUUCAAAGCAGGCUGUUGCUUGAAUAGAUUAGCAUGGAAUAAUGGAAUAGGACCUUGGUGCUAUUUCGUUGGUUAUGGGACUGGGGUAAUGAUUAAUAGGGACAGUUGGGGCCGUUCAUAUUUCGUUGUCAGAGGUGAAAUUCUUGGAUUUACGAACGAUGAACUUGUGCGAAAGCAUUCGGCAAGGAUGUUUUCAUUGAUCAAGAACGAAAGUUAGGGGAUCGAAGACGAUCAGAUACCGUCGUAGUCUUAACCAUAAACUAUGCCAACUAGGGAUCAUUGAGUGUCAAUUUACGACCUCAUUGGCACCUUGUGAGAAAUCAAAGUUUUUGGGUUCCGGGGGGAGUAUGGUCGCAAGGCUGAAACUUAAAGGAAUUGACGGAAGGGCACCACCAGGAGUGGAGCCUGCGGCUUAAUUUGACCCAACACGGGGAAACUUACCAGGUCCAGACAUAGUCAGGAUGGACAGAUUGAAAGCUCUUUCUUGAUUCUAUGGGUGGUGGUGCAUGGCCGUUCUUAGUUGGUGGAGUGAUUUGUCUGGUUAAUUCCGUUAACGAACGAGACCUCAGCCUGCUAACUAGCGAUGCCCAUUUUUUAAUGGGUAGCCCGCUUCUUAGAGGGACUAUUCGUGUUCAACGAAUGGAAGUUUGAGGCAAUAACAGGUCUGUGAUGCCCUUAGAUGUCCUGGGCCGCACGCGCGCUACACUGAUGGAUGCAACGAGCUCUACCCUUGACCGAAAGGCCCGGGUAAACUUGUCAAAAUCCAUCGUGAUGGGGAUAGAUUAUUGCAAUUCUUGAUCUUCAACGAGGAAUUCCUAGUAAGCGCGAGUCAUCAGCUCGCGUUGAUUACGUCCCUGCCCUUUGUACUCACCGCCCGUCGCUCCUACCGAUUGAAUGGUCCGGCGAAAUCUUCAGAUUGCUGGCGAGGCUAACCCCUCGCUGUGAGAAGUUGAUUAAACCUUAUCAUUUAGAGGAAGGAGAAGUCGUAACAAGGUUUCCGUAGGUGAACCUGCGGAAG